rnacentral:rRNA from 1 species
UACGUAGGGGGCAAGCGUUGUCCGGAUUUAUUGGGCGUAAAGAGCGUGUAGGCGGCCAGGUAGGUCUGCUGUGAAAACUCGAGGCUUAACCUCGAGCUGUCGGCGGAAACCAUCUGGCUAGAGUCCGGAAGAGGAGAAUGGAAUUCCGAGUGUAGAGGUGAAAUUCGUAGAUAUUCGGAAGAACACCAGUGGCGAAGGCGGCUCACUGGACUGGUAUUGACGCUGAGGUGCGAAAGCGUGGGGAGCAAACAGG